GCAGACUGGCAUUCCGUACUGAGCAAAAACCAACAGAAUAGAGACAGAGAACUCAUUCAAACUGAAUGAACAGCGAUCACCAUGUUGUAUGCAGGUCUUCUCACUGCAGUCUUCUAUUUAAUCUUUGAUUCCAGUCGUGGGGAUGAAAUUAAUCAACUCAAUGACACGAUUACCUCGAAAGUUAGCAGCGAGACGAGGAUAUUGUGCACUUACUCCCUGAGCAGUAGCGCUGACAAUGAGAAUCUGUUCUGGUACAAGCAGACUCCAGGCAGCCCCCCUCGAUAUCUGCUUCAUCGCAUGAAAGGUUCCACUGAUGAAUUCCGAUCAGAUGAAACUGAGGCCGGGUUUUCCAGUCAGUUGGACACAUCGCAGAAGAUGACUAGUUUAACAAUCGUGAACACGCAGCUGUGUGAUUCUGCAGUGUACCUGUGUGCGCUGAGUACCACGGUGCUGUCUUUACAUUACUGCCUUCUACAAUAACACAGCGCAUUCAGUGCGCACUCAUUAACACCUUCUCUAGAAAAACACAAACAACAUCACGUGUCUGUUUUAUUUGUGCUGUUGCGGUUUAAACAUCUCAGUUACAAUGUGUAUGUACAGUAUGUUAUUAUUAGGUACUUAAGAGAGUAGGGGUUUAAAACAGCAGUCAAAUUACAGGGAAUAUUUGAUGAAAAAAAACUUCAAUUAAAUAAAACUAAUGUCUUAUAUCUUAA